CGCACCUUGCGCUCCUUGGUAUUCCUCGGAGCAUGCCUGUUUGAGUAUCAUGAAAUUCUCAAAGCAAAUCUUUUUGUUAAUUCAAUUGGCUUUGCUUUGGACUUGGGGGUUUGCAGAUUCACGUCUGCUCCUCUUAAAUUAAUUAGCUGGAUCUCCAUGAACUUGGUUCCACUCGGCGUGAUAAGUAUCACUCGCUGAGGACACCCGUAAAAAGGUGGCCAGGGUUGAGGAUGAACCGCUUCUAACGGUCCAUUCGUUUGGACAAUUUAUUUAUGAUCUGAUCUCAAAUCAGGUAGGACUACCCGCUGAACUUAA
rnacentral:misc_RNA from 1 species